UACGGCGGGACACGGGAAAUCCCGUCGGAAGCAGGGAGGACCAUCUCCCAAGGCUAAAUACUCCCUAGUGACCGAUAGUGCACCAGUACCGUGAGGGAAAGGUGAAAAGCACCCCGGAAGGGGAGUGAAAGAGAACCUGAAACCGUGUGCCUACAAGUAGUCAGAGCGCGUUCAUGCGUGAUGGCGUGCCUUUUGUAGAAUGAACCGGCGAGUGACGAUGACGUGCGAGGUUAAGCCGAAGAGGCGGAGCCGCAGCGAAAGCGAGUCUGAACAGGGCGAAAAGUACGUCGUCGUCGACCCGAAACCAGGUGAUCUACCCAUGUCCAGGGUGAAGGCCGGGUAACACCGGCUGGAGGCCCGAACCCACGCACGUUGAAAAGUGCGGGGAUGAGGUGUGGGUAGGGGUGAAAUGCCAAUCGAACUUGGAGAUAGCUGGUUCUC
rnacentral:rRNA from 1 species